GCUAGUAAUGGCAGGUCAGCAUACUGCCGUGAAUAUGUUCCCGGGCCUUGUACACACCGCCCGUCACACCAUGAGAGUUGGGAAUACCCGAAGCCUGUGAGCUAACAAGUUUCUGAGGCAGCAGUCGAAGGUAGAAUCAAUGAUUGGGGUGAAGUCGUAACAAGGUAAC
rnacentral:rRNA from 1 species